rnacentral:rRNA from 1 species
AGUGAACGCUGGCGGUAGGCCUAACACAUGCAAGUCGAACGGCAGCACAGGAGAGCUUGCUCUCUGGGUGGCGAGUGGCGGACGGGUGAGGAAUACAUCGGAAUCUACUUUUUCGUGGGGGAUAACGCAGGGAAACUUACGCUAAUACCGCAUACGACCUACGGGUGAAAGCAGGGGAUUUUCGGACCUUGCGCGAUUGAAUGAGCCGAUGUCAGGAUUAGCUAGUUGGCGGGGUAAAGGCCCACCAAGGCGACGAUCCGUAGCUGGUCUGGGAGGAGGAUCAGCCACACUGAAACUGAGACACGGUCCAGACUCCUACGGGAGGCAGCAGUGGGGAAUAUUGGACAAUGGGCGCAAGCCUGAUCCAGCCAUACCGCGUGGGUGAAGAAGGCCUUCGGGUUGUAAAGCCCUUUUGUUGGGAAAGAAAUCCAGCUGGUUAACACCCGGUUGGGAUGACGGUACCCAAAGAAUAAGCACCGGCUAACUUCGUGCCAGCCGCCGCCGUAA